UACGAAGGGUGCAAACGUUGCUCGGAAUUAUUGGGCGUAAAGCGCACGUAGGCGGCUUGGCAAGUCGGAUGUGAAAGCCCUCAGCUCAACUGAGGAAGUGCGCCCGAAACUGCAGAGCUUGAGUACCGGAGAGGAUGGCGGAAUUCCCCAAGUAGAGGUGAAAUUCGUAGAUAUGGGGAGGAACACCGGUGGCGAAGGCGGCCAUCUGGACGGAUACUGACGCUGAGACGCGAAAGCGUGGGGAGCAAACAGG
rnacentral:rRNA from 1 species